GGCUUAAGGGCACCACAAGAACGCGUGGAGCAUGUGGCUUAAUUUGACUCAACGCGGGAAAUCUUACCGGGUCCGGACACACUGAGGAUUGACAGGCGCUUGAAGCNUUCGGGUUUCUAUAAAUAUGCUAGUCCUUUCAUGAUUGUGUGAUAGGUGGUGCAUGGCCGUUCUUAGUUCGUGGAGUGAUCUGUCUGCUUAAUUGCGUUUCAGAAAAUAGGUUCUUAGAGGUAUUGUUGUGUGGUGUGACCGUUCUUCGGAACGUUGUCCCCGCACACAACCCGUGAACCUUGAAGGCAACGAACGUGACCGCAACCUCUUGUUGCCUCUCUUCCGUCUUUUGGUGGACUGCUGCCUCGUGAUUUUCCUUUUAGGACGUCAUGGGGAUUAGUAGAGCGGAGCGCAAACUAGAGGGACCGCCGACCUUUUUAAAACGGAGGAAGGUUGCGGCAAUAACAGGUCUGUGAUGCCCUUAGAUGUUCCGGGCUGCACACGUGCUACAAUGAUUGUUGCAGUGAGCAUCUUAAAAGUUCGCAUGGUAGCUUGCUACUGUUGCGACACACCUACUUCGAAAGUAAGUAGGUAAUCAAUUCGAAGUAACGAUUUCCUUUGCACAUUAAUGUCUCAAGAGUGUUUUUUCGAAGACAUUCUUGGGAUGUGCUCCAUUAAUUCAUGGUGGGGACAGACCAUUGCAAUUGUUGGUCUCGGUCUUAACUAGGAAUGCCUUGUACGGGUCAUGGUUCAACAGACCACCCGGAAUAUGUCCCUGCCCUUUGUACGCACCGCCCGUCGCUCUUACCGAUGGACUUCUCUGUGAGUUUGAGGGACUGGCUUUUUUGCUAUGGAAACUUAAACGAACAGUGUGGUCUAAAGGAAAGAGAAGUCGAACAAGGCA
rnacentral:rRNA from 1 species